UAGCAAUUUUUCAGGACGCUCGG
rnacentral:miRNA from 1 species